GAGGCCUGAGGGGGUGGGGGGGAAGGAAGGGAGGCGGGGGAGAAAAUGUAUCACAGGAUGGCCUGGGUUGAAAAGGACCUCUAAGAUUAUCUAGUUUCAACCCCACUGCCCCGGGCAGGGCUCGCCAGCCACCAGACCAGGCUGCCCAGAGCCACAUCCAGCCUGGCCUUGAAUGCCUCCAGGGUGGGGCAUCCACAACCUCUGGGCAACCUGCUUCAGUGGGUCACCAUCCUUUGAGUAUCCAUAAAAAUAAAAGCACAUUGCUCUAGCUCUUCACAUAAGAUACUUCAGUACUGUAUGCAACAGUUGUCUGAAAGAACUGUUGACUUCAGCCUCUUCAGACUUCUUCUCUAAUGCACAGCCCGUACAGUGACCCACACUUUUGUAUCAUCACAGAUCAGCACGCUGACUGUCAAACACAUCAUUAAUCUGGAAAUUAUUCUGCCUUAGCCUGGCUGAUUGGAUUUUGCAUGAGGCUGUAAGGUGGAGUAAGUCAAGGAAUAAAACUUUCCAAGGUUGGAAAGACCACUAAGAUCAUCUACUCCAAACAUCAACCAUGGUGGUCAUGUCAUUCAAUGCCACAUCUCCAUGUUUCUUGAGCAUCUUCUCACAGUGCAGCUGCUUUGUUUUUCCCACCUUCCCACUGCUGCCCUUACAGACAUGCUUGUUAUCAACUUAUUGUCACAGUAAGUCCACUCUGAUUUUAGGGACAACAUGUAAGUACUCAGGCUACAGCAAGUAAGGACUUGCUUGAAUGCAACACCUGGGAGCAUAGAAACAAAGAAAAUAAAUUUCUUACCUUUGGAAGGCCUCAGGUAGGUGAGAAUCUCCAGUAAUAUACCCUCACCACCACUGCCAGCCUUUAAAUGAGAUCUGGGAAGGGGUGGAGGUGGCUCUUGGCUCUGUCCCUUCUAGUCACUCAGGUGCUUUGCAUGCACCUGAGCUCUCCUGGCUUGGCCCUGCCUUCCCACCAGGUGCUCAAUCACUGGUUCAAGCUGUGACAGCAUUUCUGCUGUACUAUCGCAUAUAGCAAAUACCCUUGCCAAGCUAUAGCAAAGCAUUGCAAUAUUUUUACUCCCAGGAUUUUUUUUCUCUCUGCUAAAUAUCUCACCCCUUUCAUCCAUAACAAUUUUCAAAGUUACGUAGUUAUGCAGAAGUUUCACAGGUCUUGAGUACCUACAACCUCAGUUUAUUUAACUGGGAUGAACACUGGUGGUGCUCAGUACUUUGAAAGAUCACCUUUAGAGAAAAGAAGGAAUAUGCCUUCUUUCUCACGGAUUUAAAGCACAGGCUCUUCUUAAUGCAUGCAUAAAUUUGAGAUAAAUUAUUACACCUUCAAUUUAGGCUGUCUUCCGUUUUUCCUUCCAUAGGCCUAGUUUUAGCCGCACAGGUUUGAAAAUAUUAGCCUUAACUAUAACCUACACCCCCAAUGGAUUGAUUUUUGACAAUAAAGUGAUUUUUUUUCCUCUUAGAAAGUUCACAGUUGUCAGCCCAUUUUGGGGGGGUAAAAAAAAAAAAAGGCCUUUCUAUCUCUGGAAAUAAUUUCAAUGGAUUUUUUUUCUGCUAAGCAAAUCAUUUAUAAAAGGUAAUAAAGAAUGAAAGGUGUGCCUCUAUGUAAACACAGGCAAGCUAUAUACAUUCACUUAACUUUGGAGUUUAUUUCAUAGUACAUAGUCUUUGAUGCAUAAAACCCUUAUUAAUUUGUUUGAUAAACAAAGGAACAGUGUAUUCAUUUUUAUUGGUCACACUGAUUUUUCUCCAUGGUCCCCAGAUUACCAUCUGAGGUCUGAAAGCUAAAGAGAAGAGACUAUUUGGGGUAUGUUACCUAAAUAAAAACAAUCAGAAUGAAAAAAAUAUCUUGAGUCACCAAAUUCAGUAUCAUAACAAUAUAAUCUGAUUUGGGUUAAAAUCUAAGGAAAAGAAAUAUUAAACCUCCCCUCAAGACUACUGAUAGUGAGAUGAUGAGCACUUAGCAAAAAUGAGCAAAAGAGAAACCCUAGAUAAGAAAACUGCAGUGAGUUUUAUAAGUAGCAGUAAACCAUGUCUAGACCCAUGAUGCAUGAUUCAGACAUGUUCACUGAACUCCUAUGCCUUCACUGGGUGAUUUUACUCUUUUCUCUGGCUCAGGCCUCCAACUGAAGCAAAUCAAAACUAUGCACUUGCUUUAAAGAAAAAUGUGGUUCUUACAUAAAAGUCAGAGUAGGGUGGUGUGAACUGUCACGCAGUGCUUGCACACACUGCUUUUGCCAAGAGAUUAUAAGUUCAUAGUAACAGCCAGUGCCUUUACAGUUUUCCUGGGGCUUAGUGAGGCAAGUCACAGCUGCAUUAAAAAUUAAAUGGAAAGAACAUUUGCAACUUGUAGUCAAACACAAUGAGCAAUAAUGGGCUUGCCAAGUCUUUGAGGACAUAAAUCUUUCCAUCUGAGGCAGCUGAAGGACUUUGUAACCGUAUGAUUAGAGCCUGUGUUUUGGUUGGAUUGGAAUGCAGUUAAGGAUGUUGUGGGUUCAUGUCCACUUGCUGUAGGUGGUAAAAACCAGAAGGAGCUGGAUCCUAUACAGCUCAGAAGCUCUUCUGCUAACCACAGAAUGGCUACCAGGCUUCUACACCAUUAGACAAGAAAGAAAAGGAGACACAGCUGAUAGCUGGGGGCUCAAACAAAAUGGCAGCAAAGAUCUUCUGCUUUCCUAGUGACCCAGAGGCCACCAGUCUGUGGACUAAUAGACCACUGAUGCAUACAAGGUGUGAACACAGAGCACAAUGGUGAGAGAUAUCAGUUGGAAAGUACAGUAGGUGCUGCUGUCCUACAUAAAAAAAACAGAACUGGAACUAAGGAGGCAUUUCCAGUGUGCAAGAGGAGGCAAAGGCACUGGGGACUUUCGGCUUAGAUUCAGCAAGAUGCGUCUUAUACUUCACGUAGAACUUUGACUUCAGUAAGACAACCUCCGUGCUUCACACUGGACAUAUAAGGACCUCUCUGCAGGCACUGGAGCUACAGUUGUACAAACUCAGAAUUUCAGUAUGAAGGCCAGAGUAGGAAAGGUGAGGUUACAGGAGGACAUGAAGCCAAAGGAGGUCGUGGAAUGAGUCAUUCUCCGUCUCAGAUCUGUGAUAGCGGGGAGAACAGAAAACGUGUGUGAUAUCCGCCAGCUGGAUUCCAUCUGUCUUUUCUCUGCGGAGAUGGAGUUUCAAAGGCUACAUCCUAUCUGCUGUCACACCCUCUCCCGACAUGAGAAGC
ensembl:lncRNA